rnacentral:sRNA from 1 species
GUUUUCUUUUGCAGGUCCAGAUUGUCCAGGAUUUUAAGUUUGUCCGGUGGGAUUUGGGUAGGAAAGCGAUGCCAUGGAUUUAUAAGAAGCAUCGUUGGGGAGGUUAUAUGUCAGUUUGGAUGUUUUCAGUUUACUGUUGCUGCCAGGAAAAAAGUCGAAUUCAGGGGUCAUGCUUUUGACCUUUUGCCAGGCCAGCAGCGCCGCGCUUAGGAUUCAGAAGGACGAGGGGGCAUCCUAGCAUGGAAAUGGCAUCAAAAAAUUCUGCGUUUUUAAUGUUUUAGUUGCCAGAAACUUCGUUUUUCGAUUUCGUCAAGUAGAGAUAUUGUCCGUGAUUUCGUUGUUGUCGGGAAAAAGUCGAAUUCAAGGGUCAUGAUUUUGACCUUUUGCCGGGUCGGCAGUGCCUCACCCAGAAUUCAGGAGGACGAGGGGGCAUUCCAACAUGGAAACGGCAUCAGAACAUUAUACGUUUUUAAUGUUUUAGGUGCCACUAACAUCGUUAUUCGUUGCGUCGAGUCGG